rnacentral:ncRNA from 1 species
AUGCAAUCGAUGAACGGGAUAGUAGUGUGCCUGAUCUAGUCUCAGCGAGCCGGGAAUGGUGGAAACCGGUACAGAUCAGCCCAUGAAGCGCACCCGGGAGAUGGACUUCUGAAUCUACAGUAGGAAGCCCCGGCUGAAGACCGUUAUCUUAUGAGCGGCUAAACAGAGGUUUAGCAACUAGAGUGGUACCGCGAGCGCUAAUCAAGCCUUCGUCUCUUUU